UGCAUAUCAAUAAGCGGAGGAAAAGAAACCAACCGGGAUUGCCUUAGUAACGGCGAGUGAAGCGGCAAAAGCUCAAAUUUGAAAUCUGGUACCUUCGGUGCCCGAGUUGUAAUUUGGAGAGGGCAACUUUGGGGCCGUUCCUUGUCUAUGUUCCUUGGAACAGGACGUCAUAGAGGGUGAGAAUCCCGUGUGGCGAGGAGUGCGGUUCUUUGUAAAGUGCCUUCGAAGAGUCGAGUUGUUUGGGAAUGCAGCUCUAAGUGGGUGGUAAAUUCCAUCUAAAGCUAAAUAUUGGCGAGAGACCGAUAGCGAACAAGUACAGUGAUGGAAAGAUGAAAAGAACUUUGAAAAGAGAGUGAAAAAGUACGUGAAAUUGUUGAAAGGGAAGGGCAUUUGAUCAGACAUGGUGUUUUGUGCCCUCUGCUCCUUGUGGGUAGGGGAAUCUCGCAUUUCACUGGGCCAGCAUCAGUUUUGGUGGCAGGAUAAAUCCAUAGGAAUGUAGCUUGCCUCGGUAAGUAUUAUAGCCUGUGGGAAUACUGCCAGCUGGGACUGAGGACUGCGACGUAAGUCAAGGAUGCUGGCAUAAUGGUUAUAUGCCGCCCGUCUUGAAACACGGACC
rnacentral:rRNA from 1 species